rnacentral:rRNA from 1 species
GUAGGGAAUAUUGGGCAAUGGAUGCAAGUCUGACCCAGCCAUCCCGCGUGCCGGAAGAAGGCCCUCAGGGUUGUAAACGGCUUUUGACGGUGAAGAAUCGACAGGAUGCGUCCUGUUUUGACGGUAGCCGUUGAAUAAGCACCGGCUAACUCCGUGCCAGCAGCCGCGGUAAUACGGAGGGUGCGAGCGUUGUCCGGAUUUAUUGGGUUUUAAGGGUGCGUAGGCUGGAAGGUCAGUCAGCGGUGAAAAGCUGUCGCUUAACGAUAGUCUUGCCGCAGAUACUUCCUUUCUUGGAUGAGGAGGAGGCCACUGGAACGGAUGGUGUAGCGGUGAAAUGCAUAGAUAUCAUCCAGAACACCGAUUGCGAAGGCAGGUGGCUGUACCUUAAUCGACGCUGAUGCACGAAAGCAUGGGGAGCAAACAGGAUUAGAAACCCUUGUAGUCC